AUCACUUAUUUACGCAUUUAAACUUAAUGGAAGCCACAAUCUGGAUAAAUGACUAUGUGCAUUUACUUUUAAAUGCAGAUAAUCUCAAACUAAUUCUAUCACAGGGUAACAUCUGUCUGCCAGUUGCUCCAGUGUAUAUGAAGACCGCUUCAAGUUAGCCAACCUGCCUAGUCAAUCAGUACCCUUGAAUUGUAAUGGACAUAAUGAAAGACUGUUGUUCCAAGACAAGUUAGUCGGUACCCUUGUCAUGUAAUGAACACGUGAAAGACUGCUGCUCCAGAAACUAGACAGAACCCUUGGUUAGAAUGGACACAUGAAAGAAGCCUGCUCCAGUUUAACCACCCUAACAAGCUAGACAGAACCCUUGUUUAGAAUGGACAUCUGAAAGAAGCCUGCUCCAAAUGAGCCACCCUGCUAACUGAUGCAUCUGACUGUGGAAUAAAGCACUUAAAAUAGACAUACAGAUAUCCCUUGCUGGAAAUCCUUGCUAUAAAUCCCUGAUAAUGUUACAGUGCUGAUGCAUUUGUCUGUUACAUAAAGCCCUAAAAAAGACAUACAGAAAUCCCUUGCUGGAGGUGCCUGCUAGAAAUCCUGCUUCAAAUCCCUGGCAAUGAUAUUUUGGCAAGUAGUUAAUGAAAUUAAUUUUAAUAGAUAUUAAAUAUCUUGAACAUUAUUUUGCUUCUGUUUCUCUGCAUAGUGUCCCUUUUUAUGUUUUCAGCUGAUGCAUUUGUGUGUGGAAUAAAGCGCUUAAAUU